rnacentral:rRNA from 1 species
UACGUAGGGGGCGAGCGUUGUCCGGAUUUAUUGGGCGUAAAGAGCUCGUAGGCGGUUCCGUGAGUCGGCUGUGAAAUCUCCACGCUCAACGUGGAGGGGUCAGUCGAUACUGCGGUGACUCGGAGUCCGGUAGGGGAGUGUGGAAUUCCCGGUGUAGCGGUGAAAUGCGCAGAGAUCGGGAGGAACACCGGUGGCGAAGGCGGGUCUCUGGGCCGAUACUGACGCUGAGGAGGCGAAAGCGUGGGGAUCAAACAGG